rnacentral:rRNA from 1 species
UGUGGCGCACGGGUGAGUAACGCGUAGACAAUCUGCCCUUCAGUCUGGGACAACUUUUCGAAAGGAGAGCUAAUACCGGAUAACAAUGUUUAACAUAAGUUAAGUGUUUGAAAGCUUUAUGUGCUGAAGGAGGGGUCUGCGUCCCAUUAGCUAGUUGGUAAGGUAAAGGCUUACCAAGGCAACGAUGGGUAGCGGGUUUGAGAGGACGAUCCGCCACACUGGAACUGAGACACGGUCCAGACUCCUACGGGAGGCAGCAGUGGGGAAUAUUGCACAAUGGAGGAAACUCUGAUGCAGCAAUGUCGCGUGAGUGAAGAAGGCCCUUGGGUCGUAAAGCUCUUUUAUGGGGGAAGAUGAUGACGGUACCCCAAGAAUAAGCACCGGCUAACUAUGUGCCAGCAGCCGCGGUAAUACAUAGGGUGCGAGCGUUGUUCGGAAUUACUGGGCGUAAAGGGCGCGCAGGCGGAAUAGUAAGUCGGAGGUGAAAGCCCGGGGCUCAACCCCGGAGGGUCUUUCGAAACUGCUAAUCUAGAGAGGGUCAGGGGCCGGCAGAAUUCCUGGUGUAGAGGUGAAAUUCGUAGAUAUCAGGAGGAAUACCGGUGGCGAAGGCGGCCGGCUGGGGCCACUCUGACGCUGAGGCGCGAAAGCGUGGGGAGCAAACAGGAUUAGAUACCCUGGUAGUCCACGCCGUAAACGG